rnacentral:rRNA from 1 species
GUGCCAGCCGCCGCGGUAAUACAGAGGUCCCAAGCGUUGUUCGGAUUCAUUGGGCGUAAAGGGUGUGUAGGUGGCGCCGUAAGUCGGGUGUGAAAUUUCGAGGCUUAACCUCGAAACUGCAUUCGAUACUGCGGUGCUUGAGGACUGGAGAGGAGACUGGAAUUCAUGGUGUAGCAGUGAAAUGCGUAGAGAUCAUGAGGAAGACCAGUGGCGAAGGCGGGUCUCUGGACAGUUCCUGACACUGAGACACGAAGGCCAGGGGAGCAAACGGGAUUAGAAACCCUCGUAGUCC